GUAGCUGGUCUGAGAGGAUGGCCAGCCACACUGGAACUGAGACACGGUCCAGACUCCUACGGGAGGCAGCAGUGGGGAAUAUUGGACAAUGGGGGCAACCCUGAUCCAGCAAUGCCGCGUGUGUGAAGAAGGCCUGAGGGUUGUAAAGCACUUUCAGUGGGGAGGAGGAUUGAUWGGUUAAGAGCUGRUUAAUUGGACGUUACCCACAGAAGAAGCACCGGCUAACUCCGUGCCAGCAGCCGCGGUAAUACGGAGGGUGCGAGCGUUAAUCGGAAUUACUGGGCGUAAAGGGUGCGUAGGUGGUUUGAUAAGUUAUCUGUGAAAKCCCUGGGCUCAACCUGGGCAGGUCAGAUAAGACUGUUUGACUCGAGUAUGG
rnacentral:rRNA from 1 species